GGGGAAGUGCUGGAAUUGGCAGACAGGCAUGACUUAGGAUCAUGUGCCGCAAGGCGUAGGGGUUCGAUUCCCCUCUUCCCCA
rnacentral:tRNA from 1 species